UCUUAAAUGGUGGAUCCCAGCGUCUUCAGUUCGGUCCCUGGAAAAAGAAAAAAGAUCAUUCCCUCCAGUCCCCGUUGACCUCAUUCUUGUCAGAAUGUAUAGCAUCGUCAAAUUUUUGGGGGAAAGGACUGUUGGCAUAGUGGCCAGUAAUUGGAUUAUAAAAGAGGGAGAUAAGACAUGCAGCUACUGGCCACUCCACAAGCCCACACAGAGGGCAAAGGACAAAGAUUUGCCCGAUCCUAAAACCUGGCUAAAAAGGCCAAUAAAAAUAUUUGUGUGUUAAUGUGUGUUAAUGGGCGACAAAUAAAUAAGUGGUGACAUGCAACACAUUUAAAAGAGUGUAAUUUCUAAUUGUUUUGGCCCACCUGACUGUUUAGAUGAUUGGGAUCAGGCCGUCAGGAGGAACAAGAGGGCGGAGACAAAGUCCUGUGUGGAGACAGGAAAUGAGGACAUAGGGAGGCGCAUCAUAGUCAAACCCCAAAAAUGUGAAAAGAGAACAAAGAAACGAAAUGGGAAAAAGGCAGGACAAGGUCCACAUUUCAGGACUUCCCUUCCUCCUCCACCCCAGAUAGAAUCCCCCAUUCCACGGCGUAGCGCACUACAAAUAUCUUCACCCCCUGUGACUGAUGACGAUUACUCCCCUCCUUCACCGGCAAGAGACGUUUUUACAGAAAAUGAUGAUGAUUCGAUUGCGUCUUCAUUUGAAACGCCAUUGCCUAUCUCUACUGGGGACGGUAAAGUGGCGGGUGGAGAGGGUGGUUAAAACCAAACUAGUAACUCUUAUCAACAGGUUAUGACAGUCAUCUGUCUAUACUAACCCUACACAUUAUGCUUUAUACACAUUACUUAGGUGACCGAAGAGAGAGAGAAACCAUACCAAUCUGGGCAAAGGAAUAUCAACGCGACAUUGGAGGUUCUGCUCCUGUUGGGCAAAAUAACCUGCUGAGUACAUCACAUGUACAUUAUAAAUAUAGCUAACUCCUACCCUAGCUUAAUGAGCACAUCACAUGGCAGUCACCUUAUAAUAUAGUC
ensembl:lncRNA